GGGGGUAUGCUUCAGUGGUAGAGGGCUUGAUUAGCAUGCAUGAGGCCCUGGCUUCGAUUCCCAGUGCCCA
rnacentral:tRNA from 1 species